AAAAGUUAUUGUGGUGAAAUUACACAAAUCAGCUGCAACUUUGAAAAAAAAAACAUUUUUCUAAUGAAGAUAUUUCCUUCAUUUAAGUUUGUUUAUGAGACUAACUCAGAAAAGCGCAAUGAGCCGCUUUUCUCCUUCAGAAUCUACUGUAAUUAUUGUGUUAAUGAUUGAAACGUUACAGUAUGUUAAAGAUUUUGUGUUUAAACGUCACAGGCGAUGCCUCAGGUGUUAAAAGGUUAAAAUGUGUUCUCCACAUGUGAUCCAUCCAGCAGAGAACUGCAGUCUAGCGGCCCUUUUGAACUUUUACGUGGUGGAACUCCCAAUGUGUCAAACAGGUGGUGUAAUAAUGGCUUUAGUUAAAUUAUUUUAAAAAAAAAUAGUAUUUUGUUCUAAGUAAACCAUUCUCAACAUUUCGUUUUUGCAUGAAUUGUUGAAGUGAGACAUCUGUCGUUUUAGUCAAGUUUCCGCUUUAAAUUUGUGUCAGAGUGAGUGCUCUCACCAUGUAGAUUUAAUUUUAAUCGAGCGCAUUUUCACAGGAGAUGCAAAAAAAAUAAAAUAAACAAAUAAUAAUUCAAGGGACAUGCGGCCAUGUUCGUGCUGGAUAAAUUGUCAGAGUGAGACAUCUGUUCUUUUAGUUACGGUUCUGAUUUAAAUUUGUGUCAGAGUGAGUGCUCUCGCCAUGCAGUUUUAGGUUUAAUCGAGUACAUUUUCUUGGGAGAUGCAGACAUGUUUGUGCUGAAUCAACUCGGUGCGUGCGAGCGUUGGAAUUUUUCCGUCUUUAGUAUCCAAUCCUCGUCUCUGGCUCCGGUCCUUUUCCGAUGGAGUUAAGGGCCUGGACUUUGAUCUCAAACCGCUUGUAGGUACUUGUGUUUACGACCAGGAACGGUGGAGAUGAGACAUCUUCGUGUUUCCAGUUUGUUUCUGUUCCUGCCCCCUCAGCUUCUCGCCAAAAGACCCUAUAGUGGAAACUGUCGCCAUUGUGGAAGCGCUUCUCAACUUUCUGUGGUGCAAUGAUCCGGAACCGGUAUGUGCAGAACGGGCGCAGAGUGAGCUGUGUUUGGGUGUGACUUCCAGAAACUCUUUCCCACUUCUUCCAAAUGGCCUUCCCCUCUCCAGUGUGAAGUUUCUCCUCUGCCUCCAC